CCAGACUCAACGUUUAUAAACCCAACUCAAAAGCUUGAAGCAACCUUCCUUUUUCAUUCUCUGAAUUUCCCAGUUGACAACUCCUGAGGAAUUUUCUUUAUUUUGUUAUGCCAACUCUUGGCAUGAUUUAUUCUUGUACAAGAUUGAAUAAAGAAAUCUUCAAUCUCCAUUUUAAUUUUGUACCAGGUCUAAAUAGAGAAAUCUUCAGGCUGUGUUGUUCCUUUUUCUUUCAAGUUGUCCAAAUAGAGAAAUAUUCCAAUAAACUUAUGUCAUUUCCACUACCGUUCAAUUUUAGCUUCUGUCAGUUAUAAUUUUCGCACUAGAUGAAUAUUGAAGUCCUCUUAAUUGAGGCAUAGAAAAGAACCUUGUAUUGGGUCAAUUCCCCACCCAAUCCACAAUCAAUUGAUUAAAGUCAAUGUCGGUGUGCAUUUUUCAGUCUUACCAUUCUUAGUCUGUUGGAGUUUUUCACUGCCAACAGUGGCACGCGUUCGCAAUCGCAACAAGAAAACUCCACGGUCAAACCCCACGCGAAUGGCCGGCGGGUCCUUUUCGGGCUAGACCAGCUGUAGGUCGGCUGCAUUAAUGAGGUUGAUUGAAUUAAUGAGUUUGGCUCUACUUUGGGAGGCUGCUGCAAUCUCCAGGAUUAGGGGCUCAAGGAUUUGGAGCUCAAGACCAGCUGCAACCCACCUACUUGUGAUUAAUAUUGAGCUUGGUUAGCAAGCCUACUUCUUGUAUAAAUUUUUGCUGUAAUUAAUAUUGAGCUUGGUCUAGCAGUAUACUGUAUUGCUGAAUGUAGUUACACAAUGAACAAAUCAAAUGUCUUUAUAGACAACUUUCCAGAAGAGAAUUGAAUU